rnacentral:snoRNA from 1 species
UCAGAGGAUGCGAAAUAUAUACCCAAAUUGUAUAGCAAGGAUAACGGGGUAAUCGUUUUGGUUGCCUUCUUGCAGUGAUAAAGCAUUUUGUCAUAGUUACACUGA